ACAUGCGCAAAUGGAGGAAGUGGGAGUGCACAGAGCCGGAGACACGAUCUACACGAUUGCAUGAUCUCGUUUUCGCUUUCCAUAAAAGGAGAUGAAAUAUACAGAAAAGCUGCGUAAGUUUAGCGGCACAAAAAACUUCUCGCGUGUGUUCUUCUCUUCCACUGUUCAUCGUCAAGCAUUGUCGAUUUCCAGGGAUUCGUGUGUAGUUUGAUCCUGAGUUUUUGCCAACAAGAUCAAGAUGAUGAUCCAAAGUGAAUCCACAAAUUGCUACCUUUGGUGUAGGUAGUAAUCAUUCGUGAAUCGUGAUGAACCCCAUGAAGGGGUGUUUUCAGGAGGGAGAGGCGCCGGGAAGCUUUCACGUUUUUAGACAAAUCCACGAGGUAAUCUUCAAGGACGUGUUGGUGGUCUUUGUUGCAUAAAAAAGAGGGUGACCACAAAUUGGAGGAGUGCGGCAAAGUUUGGGCGGAACUGUAGAAAGGGAUUGGAAGUGGUCUUGUAUUUGUCUUUUGCUUGGUUGUUGUCUUUCAAUGCUUUGUUGAAACCUUUUAUAACGAGUUUGGGUCUAAACACUUUUGUACUUGUAUUGCAUGUAGAGGCCGGGUUUUGUACGUUUUUAUUUCUGUGUACAUCUAUUGAAUAAUCAAGUGCAUUCUAAGGAAGGCUUUCGACA